rnacentral:lncRNA from 1 species
UCCCCCUAAUGCUACAAGAUCUCAUGAUUUACCCCCCUCCCCCCAGUAUGGAAUACCAUGGCCUGAGCUGCUGCCAUUGGGCUUCUCCUUGUUGCUUCUUCCUCCAUCUCCCCACCAUCUUUCCACCAUUACAGUUUGGCUAUAUUACCUUACUCUGGAUUCAUUGACUCUUGCGUCAAACCCCCAUCAGUCAGACUGACACAAUGGUGCCAAAAUCAAGGAACUGGUCAGGUGCAAUUCAGCCACCCACCUACAGUCAUUUCCUGUGAGGAGGUCUUCACCUUGGAACUUGACCAUGGAGGAGCUUGGGCUUGAGAUCUCACACUGCUUCCCCUUGGACUGCCACAUGAAAAAAGAAUGCAUCAUGGAGGAGGAAGUACCGGGAUCCAGCAUCAAAUGAAGCUCACUUUUAUCUAUGAUGGACUAAGGGAGGUUGAAUGUCUUUCUCCAGUGAAAUCCAGCUCAGCCCAGGCAGGGGCUUCCCCAAGAUUCUGUCUCUAUGUGAAUUUCCCAGUAAUCCUCAGCCAGAAGUUGUGUCCUCAGCCUGGUGGUGUCUUCAGCCAGUGUUCCACCAACAUAGCCUCCUCCAAAUCCAAGGUAGGAAUCUCAGCCACUCACCCAGCAAGCUGAUGCAGGAUUCAGGGGGAAAGUUUCCUUCAAUGCCAGGAAAGGAAUCUCUGGAACCAACCUUUCCAAACAUCAGGAAGGGAAUGAAUGAUAGACCAUGCUGGUCUCUUCUUUUAUGCUUCUUUUUCCACAUCAGUUCUUGUCACUUCCUGUCACUCCCCUGUCUUCACAAAAACCAAUGGCAGUCUUUCAAUUUGCCUAGCACUGUCCAAGGGAAAGGGCACUGGCUUUUGGAGGUAUGAGCUUACUUUCUUAUUUAAUGAUAAGUAGGGGUAUUUUAAGUUCUUUAUUUGAUUAGCUAAAAAUAGAUAAGGGGAGAGUUAAUCCUAUCUUCACAGUACCCAGAAGACUUAUAAUUGAAGCAUAUUUCCUAAAUUCUGACAUUUUCACAGGUCCCCUGUGUGUAUCCAUUAUGCUUCACUAUGUUUAUAUGUUACAAAGGGAUUUUAUUAUUUUCAUUUUCUUUUUCUCACUUCCAUUUUGUAAAAAUUAAAUUAUAUCUCUAAUAAUAAAAAUAUUAUAUUUCAUGAGGUUUAUUAAGGA